rnacentral:sRNA from 1 species
GCCGGGCGCGGUGGCUCACACCUGUAAUCCCAGCACUUUGGAGGGCUGAGGCAGGUGGAUCAGUUGAGCCCAGGAAUUCAAUACCAGCCUGGCCAACAUGACAAAACCUUGUCUAUACUAAAAAUACAAAAAUUAGCUGGGUAUGGUGGUGGGCACCUGUAGUCCCAGCUACUCAGGAGGCUGAGGCAGGAGGAUCACUUGAAACCAGGAGUUUGCGGCUGCAGUAAGCUAGGAUCGUGCCACUGCACUCCAGCCUGGGCAACAGACUGAGACUCUGUCUCU